rnacentral:misc_RNA from 1 species
GGCAACUCUUGACUAUUCCAAAAUAAAUAUUUGUACAUAUGUUUUGCAAAUUUGUGCAUACAAUAUAUUUUUGUAAAUUACAACUUGCACGUAUCCCCAAUUAUGAUAGGAGGGGUAUCACCCUUGUACAAUUUAUACUUGUGCAUAUAUCAUACAUAAACGUAGUAUUCUUUACAAAUGAUACAUUAUACAUAUAUGAUUCUUUAGAUGGUACCCUAUGAUGAUGAGAUCAUCAGACUAUCGUUGUUAUCAAAUGGAAUUGCUUUUGGACUUGGGAAGCCGAUCACAAUUUGCAGGCACCCACCCAAUCACUUGCUUCUCAUUAUUGUAAAUCACCAUUCUGUCUUGCAUUGAUAUGUCUCCAAUGACAUUUAGAUCGCCCAGCCCUACUUCUGUACCAUUUAGAAUUCCCAAGCAGGCAUUUCCCUUGGAUGAUAUUAUCAGAUACGCUUCUGGGGAGAAUUCCAACUUUGUUUUAGUCCUGCCACCACUUGUGAAGCUCAAUGCAAAGGUCUUGAAGUAUUUCUUGACAUCACGAAUGCUUUUAAACGGCUUCUUCCCUUUCCAACAAAGAGGCAGUGUUUGGUCUGAUGUUUCACUUAAGGGCUUUCCUGAUAAUUCUUUCUUCAACUAUAAAGAAAUAUGCCAUAAAUGAUACGAGAUAUUAAGACUUGAGAAUGGUUUAAUAAUGGAAAUAAUUGAUGUUUCAAAUUAAAUUUAUAGUGUGAAUUGUUUUAAUCAUGGGCAGGAGUCAAUGAAGAAUAUUUCUUUUCUUUUUUUGUGCGUGUGCGUCUCCGUGCAUGUUUGUGUUUUUAGAGAGAUAUUCAUGUGAGGAAAGAAGCAUCUUUCCCCAGUACAGACGAAUUUCACUGUUCAUUACGAUUAUAGGUAUAGACAAGUAUUUUGCAAAUGCAUGAUGCUGUCUGCUAGACAUUCUAAGCCAAUUUUCUUAGUUAUUUUUGGCAUGCACAAUGAAGUUGCUUCCUACUCACCAAAAAUAAUAAUCCUUGAUAUGCCUGUGAAUUCAGGUAAGAAUAAGAGCUCCCACUGUCAAAAACUGUAGGUAAAUUUCUAAUCCCAGUUGAUUUCCCAUCAAAUAUUAAUUCCGCAAAUCCAGGUGAAUAGUAUUUGCUGGCAUAAGAGAUGAUUGGUUAAGUAUAAAAUAAGUAAAGUAAAGCUAGAUUUUCAAAAGAUGAAUGGAAAUUCGUAAGGUUUAAUUACGAAAUAUCGCGUGACAUUGGUGUCCAGGCCACUCGAGAUGAAUCAUAGAUAUCAUCUCCAAAGAAGAGAAAUCCUCCACCACGCCCACUUAAACAGUGGCCGAUUACAUUUUGCACCAAACCUUGGCUACUAAGCUGCGAUGGGAUGCUGGAUAUUCCCUUGCCAAGGCCAAGUAUUCCAUCUAAGGGAUGAAGAUCUCUACCUGGAAGCUGAUCGUACCCACAUCCGAGGGCCAGAAGAGGAUUAAGCCGCUUUCCAUUUGUAAAGUUCAGAAGAAAGACAUCCUUGACAAGAACACCAAGAGAUGAUCCACCAUCCGCAUACUCAACCUCAUAGUCACACUGCUCUGGGUCUAGACAUUUGUGGUCACCAGGCGGCUGCAAAGAUGCACAGAGGGGAUCAUUGCAAGCCACUAGGUUGUUGCUGGGUUGGUAAAGUGGAUGAGGUGCCUCAGUACAAUGGUGACAGGGAGCAUCACAUUGGAGCCAUGUGAGGUCACUUCCUGUGUCUAUAUCAAGAAAGUAGGGCUUUGGUGGCUGCCCAAUAUUUAGAGUAACAUUAUAAUAUCUGCAAAAUGGAACUCUAUGACAUUAGAAAAGAAAUAUGCUCAGCAAAAUUAUACUAUGAACGCUACAACAAAAUCUCCAUAGACUUAUUGCAUAAUUAGCAUCAAUGGUGGUAUAUAGAAUAUAGAAACUUAUGAAGCUUGACAUAGAGCUAAAAUCUGAGGCAAAGAAUUAACAAGGAUAAUACCCCGCUUUUGUAUCUUAUGUACGUACCCAGCAGGAUAUACAUUCCCAUGAAGUGGAAAAACAAUGGACGAUCCAACUCUAUUGAGCAUCAUUGAUGACGACAUUUCUCCUGAUAGCAUUGCUUUUCUCCACCUUUGCUGCCUAUCAUCACUAGAAGCAGAUGAAGACCCCAAAAUCAGACCUACUAGGACCAACAACGCCAUCACCGAAAAGCCCACUUUCCCUUUUCCCAUCUCUCUCUGUCUGAUAUCGAUGUAUCACUGAAUGUUUUAGAAUUUUUGGUUUUCAAUGCAAUCUAAUUAUCUAAUGUAUUAUUCUAUGCUGUGCUAUGUGUUUGUUAAAAUGACUGAAUGGAGACGAAAAAACACCGCUACAAUUUUUUCUAGUGUCUUGUUUGGGGAGCUGGGUUUGUUGGUUUAUGAAAAGCUCAUGUCUGUCCAAAAUUGGUUUUUAAUGUGAAGGUGACUUUGAAACCUGGGAUUGGUAUUGAGAAUAGCAUUGCUUCACAAUUAAGCAUUCGUUCAUGGAGGAAUUGACAUGCACAUUGCUUGGUUCUUUAAAUGUCCCUUAAUUGGUUUUCCCUUUCUUUUGCACUGGGAUUACUGGGGAAUCAUCCUAACCUCCAAAUUGAAGUUGAGAUUUCUUCUAAUGUUUGUGUAGUGAGAUGUUUAUUCUUUUCCUCCUCUGAGGUGGGAGGGAUAAGUAAGUGUUCGAUCAAAUACACACGGAAGAGUAGUGAUUAAACAAAAGAAACCCAUUGCAGGAGUAUAAUAAUAAUAAUAAUAAAUCAAAUGAGAAUAUAUGAAUAUCAUACAUUAGAGUCUGUGUCCACUUUGACAUCAGUA